rnacentral:rRNA from 1 species
GUGUCAGCAGCCGCGGUAAAACGUAGGAGCCAAGCGUUAUCCGAAUUCACUGGGCGUAAAGCGUGUGCAGGCGGCGGAAUAAGUUGGAUGUGAAAUCUCCUGGCUCAACUGGGAGAGGCCGUUCAAUACUGUUUUGCUCGAGGGCAACAGAGGGAGGUGGAAUUCCCGGUGUAGUGGUGAAAUGCGUAGAUAUCGGGAGGAACACCAGUGGCGAAAGCGGCCUCCUGGGUUGCACCUGACGCUCAGACACGAAAGCUAGGGGAGCGAACGGGAUUAGAAACCCCCGUAGUCC